rnacentral:rRNA from 6 species
GACCGCGACCCCAGGUCAGGCGGGACUACCCGCU